UAAGGAAUAUUGCGCAAUGGGGGAAACCCUGACGCAGCAACGCCGCGUGGAGGAUGACCCUUUUCGGAGCGUAAACUCCUUUUAUCAGGAAAGAAUAAUGACGGUACCUGAUGAAUAAGCACCGGCUUACUCCGUGCCAGCAGCCGCGGUAAUACGGGGGGUGCAAGCGUUACUCGGAAUCACUGGGCGUAAAGGACGCGUAGGCGGAUUAUCAAGUCUUUUGUGAAAUCUAGUGGCUUAACCACUAAACUGCUUAGGAAACUGAUAGUCUAGAGUAGGGGAGAGGUAGAUGGAAUUCUUGGUGUAGGGGUAAAAUCCGUAGAGAUCAAGAAGAAUACCCAUUGCGAAAGCGAUCUGCUGGAACCUAACUGACGCUGAGGCGUGAAAGCGUGGGUAGCAAACAGG
rnacentral:rRNA from 1 species